AUCUAUGGCCAUACCACCCAGAACGCACCUGAUCUCAUCUGAUCUCAGAAGCUAAGCAGAGUCGGGCCUGGUUAGUACUUGGACGGGAGAAAGGCAGAGGUUGAGGCAGGAGGAUAGAUA
rnacentral:rRNA from 1 species